rnacentral:piRNA from 1 species
UGAUGGUGGACGGACAAGAUCAG